AUUGAACGCUGGCGGCAGGCCUAACACAUGCAAGUCGAGCGGAUGAAGGGAGCUUGCUCCUGGAUUCAGCGGCGGACGGGUGAGUAAUGCCUAGGAAUCUGCCUGGUAGUGGGGGAUAACGUCCGGAAACGGGCGCUAAUACCGCAUACGUCCUGAGGGAGAAAGUGGGGGAUCUCCGGACCUCACGCUAUCAGAUGAGCCUAGGUCGGAUUAGCUAGUUGGUGGGGUAAAGGCCUACCAAGGCGACGAUCCGUAACUGGUCUGAGAGGAUGAUCAGUCACACUGGAACUGAGACAUGGUCCAGACUCCUACGGGAGGCAGCAGUGGGGAAUAUUGGACAAUGGGCGAAAGCCUGAUCCAGCCAUGCCGCGUGUGUGAAGAAGGUCUUCGGAUUGUAAAGCACUUUAAGUUGGGAGGAAGGGCAGUAAGUUAAUACCUUGCUGUUUUGACGUUACCAACAGAAUAAGCACCGGCUAACUUCGUG
rnacentral:rRNA from 1 species